rnacentral:rRNA from 1 species
AGAUUGAACGCUGGCGGCAGGCCUAACACAUGCAAGUCGAGCGGCAGCACGGGUACUUGUACCUGGUGGCGAGCGGCGGACGGGUGAGUAAUGCCUAGGAAUCUGCCUGGUAGUGGGGGAUAACGCUCGGAAACGGACGCUAAUACCGCAUACGUCCUACGGGAGAAAGCAGGGGACCUUCGGGCCUUGCGCUAUCAGAUGAGCCUAGGUCGGAUUAGCUAGUUGGUGAGGUAAUGGCUCACCAGGGCGACGACUCCGUAACUGGUCUGAGAGGAUGAUCAGUCACGACUGGAACUGAGACACGGUCCAGACUCGUACGGAGCAGCAGGUGGGAAUAGUGGACAGUGGGACGAAAGCCUGAUCCGAGCCAGUCGCCGCGUGUAGGUAGAAAGGUAACGGUUCGUUACGGUAAUUACGUUAAACGU